rnacentral:lncRNA from 1 species
GAGCACGGCCUCCGGUACGUCGAGACCUGUUGGUACGUGUCUCUGCGGACUUCAGAAGUCCUCGGUUUGCGUGAACGAGCCGCUUGAUCGCUCAAAUUACAUAAAAUGAUGAGAUUUUAUGUAAUUAGAGGGUCUUUUAUGCAUUUGUGCUUUGCGUGGCUACUGUGGGCAGUGUGUGGGAGUUUGUAAUGACCGCUGGACUGAUUGUCCAUGGUCCGUUAGCUUUCGCGGAAAUCGGUCGGUCGAUUUCGGUGCGUUUUUCGGCGAAAUUCGCCGAAAGAACGCGGUUUCGGUUCGGAUUUCUUCCGACGUGGUUUGGUUGUCUUGUGUGUGGUCGCUGAGCCUUGUUGGCUAGUCACCAUCAUCAUUUUGUGGGUUCGGUGAUGAUGGGUGAGCGACGGUGGGUUCCGGUGUCCAAAUAGACACUUUCGGGAACUCGGAUUCGUACAAUUAUCCGGCGAUAAUUGUGUAGUGGUGUUAUCUUGUGUUUGCUGCCAAAACAUCCAAAUUAGAGUGUUUUGGGGCAGCAGGCGACUCGUGACCCGAGUCGGUGAGUUUCGGGACACUUAGUGGGUCCCGACGGCGUCCCGGUGUGGUUUUCGGGACUUCCGGUGAGUUACGGUAAUCGGUAUUGGGAAACCGAUCUUCAUGAAAUUGUUUGUGGGGUUGUGGAUACUAUGAUUAUUAGUUGUGGGUUAGAUACUAACCCGGUGGACCCUCUAUAGGUCCUGUCGACAUUCUUUUGCAGUCAGGAGACAGACACGACAUCCUUACAGGUGGGUACUUCGAUCCGACGUCGGUACAGUGGUGCACGCUUGGUGAUGGUUUCUUACCCUUACUCUUCUGUUGUUACUAUCACAUAAUAUAUUGAGCCUUGCAUCCUUGUUUAUUCGUUAUACUCUACUCGUUGUUUGCAUACUUAGUAUCCUGAGUAAGAGUAGAGUAGUUCUAUCUUCAUGCGUAUCUGUUGACCUAGUUGGUCGGUUGUUGCAUUCAGUACCUGUUGACCUAGUUGGUUUGUUGUUGCGUUUAGUAUCUGUUGACCUGGUUGGUCGGUUCUCGUACUUCGUUUCAGUGACCUGAUUGGUCGGUUCUCGUACAUCGUUCGAUGACCCUUGAGGUCGGUAUACCCUAAGGGGUGGGAUUGUCGAUUAGCAUCGACGGAUGAUUAUAGUUUACACAGUUCCACUAUUUGGCAUAUUUGUGACCUAGUCAGUCAGCUUCGUGAGUCCUGUCGUUUGAUGACCUAUGAGGUCGGUGUACCCUGAGGGGUUGGAUUGUCGGCUAGUAGCCGACGGUAAUUCGGGAUUCUAUUGAUAUACUCUGGUGACCUAUUCGUCAGUUCGUCGUGCAUAUAUGUUAGUUGACUUUAGUAGUCAGUGCUUGUAUACCUUGGUAGGAUGUUGAGUUGUUCCCUCUUAGUUGACCUGAGUAGUCGUUUCUUGUGCUUCUAUAUAGUUUGAUGACCUAUUGGUCGGUUUGCCCCGAGGGGCGGUGAUUGUCGGCUGGUUGCCGACAUUUGGCUAUUGAUCAUAUCCGCAUUGAUCGCCACAGCUCGAGUGCAUUUCACGUACACCAGCGGGUUGAUCCCCCGCAGGAGGGUGUUCUUUUCCGGAAAAGUGGUCGUACAUCCGACCCGUGAGCCCAGCGGUGUUCUCUUUGUGCUAGGGUUACAUGCCAGGUGCGAGCAGGUAGUGGCUUUUGCCUGAGGUCCUUAGACCGACACGACGGUUUAGAUUUGGUACUUUUGGACUACUUGUUCGGUUGACGCAUAUAACUAUAGUAGCAGUGGUCACUUGUAUAUCUUCAGUUCUUUCGUUACAUUGUCUUACUACUAUAGUCUUGUUACAUGUAUACAUUCAGUUGUUCAUUACAGUAGCGGUAGUUGUACUUUCUUUCAUAUAUAUGUCUCUUUCAUUCAUUGUUAUUGCUACUGUAUUUUCUACUGACCCGUACUGUUGUUUAGCUCUUCCUGAUCCGGUGAGUACUCCUCGCCUUCAUCGGCUUGCGGUACCCACUGGGAGGGGAGACAUGUUUACAUGUUCUCACCUCCCCCACUAUUUUUCAGGUAUUGCAGGCGAUGAGUGUUGGGACGAGACGUGAGGUACGUUCGUAGCGGUCGAUAGAGCUUCCGACCCAGGUUAUCGAUUUAGUUUUUAUCCUUACUAUUCUGUUGUUAUAGCUUAGUUAGUUUAUAUGGUUCAGUUAGAUGAUCAUACUUGAUGUUUGAAUGUUGUGAGCUGGUUGAAUUUGUGGAAUUUUGGAUUUGGUUUAUGGAUCUUCAGUUUUGGAAUGUUUGUAUACUUUGUGGUUCUCGGAUUUGUAUUUAUGGAUUUACGCAUCGUGGUUUUCUACCCCUCGAGGUAGUCGGUUUUCAAAAUAGAGUUUCCGUGUCGGAAAUAAUUUUCAAAAAAUUUUCAAAUGAUUUUUCAUGAUGAAUGAAUUAGAGUUCAAAAAUAAAAGCUUCUGUGUGGGGAGCACUUUUAAAUAGGAUGGUUGUUGUAUUGUGCAUUGCAUCAUCCAGCGCCUAAGGAGUGCUUAGAGGCAUGCAUCAUUCUAAGGAUUGUUAGCUGUAUAGAAAUGUAUAUCAUGAAUUGGUUGCUGAUUGGUAAAUGUAGGUUGUGGUUGUGAUCCUGUUGUAUCCGUUGGUACGCCGUGCAGAUACAAAGGAGACUCUGCCCGAAUGGACAGAGGAACUUUGUAUUUGUGGCGGGUCUGUACGUCACGUGGGCCAGGUUUUUUUUAAAAAAAAAAUUUUUGGUACAUCUUCCGCGACUCUGAGUUUUAAAAAUGGUAAUGGCUUUUAAAUCGGCCCCGGGGCGUGACACUCACCUUAUUUCUGUCGGGGAGACUCCGUUCUGCUGUUUUGGCGGUGUCGACCCCGUCGAGCCUGUUUGGCUGCUGUUUUGAGUUUGCGCACGCUUAUCCGGCGAUCCGAGGCUGUUCCGAUGCCUCCGGAGGUGAGCACGGUGACCGCUGGUCAGUGCUGAUCACAAUGCUCACCUUCCCUUGGAUCAGAAGUGUCCGGUUAGUUCUGUUCGGAGCGAUCUUCCCUGACUGCGCGCUAUUCGCUGAACCUUCGGGUUGCUCCCGCGCUUCCCACAGCGAGCCGCUGUGCUCCGGAUCGUGAGCACGGACUCCGGUACGUCGAGACCUGUCAGUACGUGUCUCUGCGGACUUCGAAAGUCCUCGGUUUGCGUGAACGAGCCGCUUGAUCGCUCAAAUUACAUAAAAUGAUGAGAUUUUAUGUAAUUAGAGGGUCUUUUAUGCAUUUGUGCUUUGCGUGGCUACUGUGGGCAGUGUGUGGGAGUUUGUAAUGACCGCUGGACUGAUUGUCCAUGGUCCGUUAGCUUUCGCGGAAAUCGGUAGGUCGAUUUCGGUGCGUUUUUCGGCGAAAUUCGCCGAAAGAACGCGGUUUCGGUUCGGAUUCUUUCCGACGGUGUUUGGUUGCUUCGUGUUUUGUCGCUGAGCCUUGUUGGCUGGUCACCAUCAUCAUUUUGUGGGUUCGAUGAUGAUGGGUGAGCGACGGUGGGUUCCGGUGUCGAAAUAGACACUUCCGGAAACCCGGAUUCGUACGAUUAUCCGGCGAUGAUCGUAUGGUUGUGUUACCUCGUGUUCACUGCCAAGGCAUCCAAAUUGGAGUGCUUUGGGGCAGCGGGUGACUCGUGGCACGAGUCGGUGAGUUCGGGACACUUAGUGGGUCCCGACGACGUCCCGGUGUGGUUUUCGGGACUUCCGGUGAGUUACGGUAAUCGGUUUUGGGAAACCGAUUACGGGGAUCCUGUGUGGGGGUUUGUGAGUCUCGUGCUUUGGGUUAGUGGUUUGGAUUCUGACUUGCUGGAUCUUCUUAGGUCCGGUAGACUCUGUGCGUACCCAGCGUUCCGACGCGACAGUGACAGGUGGGUACUUCGAUCCGACGUCGGUACAGUGGUGCACGCUUGGUGAUGGUUUCUUACCCUUACUCUUCUGUUGUUACUAUCGCAUAAUAUAUUGAGCCUUGCACCCUUGUUUAUUCGUUAUACUCUACUCGUUGUUUGCAUACUUAGUAUCCUGAGUAGGAGUAGAGUAGUUCUAUCUUCAUGCGUAUCUGUUGACCUAGUUGGUCGGUUGUUGCAUUCAGUACCUGUUGACCUAGUUGGUCUGUUGUUGCGUUUAGUAUCUGUUGACCUAGUUGGUCGGUUAUUGCAUUCCGUAUCUGUUGACCUGGUUGGUCGGUUCUCGUACUUCGUUUCGGUGACCUGAUUGGUCGGUUCUCGUACAUCGUUCGAUGGCCCUUGAGGUCGGUAUACCCUAAGGGGUGGGAUUGUCGGUUAGCACCGACGGAUGAUUAUAGUUUACACAGUUCCACUAUUUGGCAUAUUUGUGACCUAGUCAGUCAGCUUCGUGAGUCCGGUCGUUUGAUGACCUAUGAGGUCGGUGUACCCUGAGGGGUUGGAUUGUCGGCUAGUGGCCGACGGUAAUUCGGGAUUCUAUUGAUAUACUCUGGUGACCUAUUCGUCAGUUCGUCAUGCAUAUGUGUUAGUUGACUUUAGUAGUCAGUGCUUGUAUACCUUGGUAGGAUGUUGAGUUGUUCCCUCUUAGUUGACCUGAGUAGUCGUUUCUUGUGCUUCUAUAUAGUUUGAUGACCUAUUGGUCGGUUUGCCCUGAGGGGCGGUGAUUGUCGGCUGGUUGCCGACAUUUGGCUAUUGAUCAUAUCCGCAUUGAUCGCCACAGCUCGAGUGCAUUUCACGUACACCAGCGGGUUGAUCCCCCGCAGGAGGGUGUUCUUUUCCGGAAAAGUGGUCGUACAUCCGACCCGUGAGCCCAGCGGUGUUCUUUUUGUGCUAGGGUUACAUGCCAGGUGCGAGCAGGUAGUGGCUUUUGCCUGAGGUCCUUAGACCGACACGGCGGUUUAGAUUGGGUACUUUUGGACUACUUGUCCGGUUGACGCAUAUAACUAUAGUAGCAGUGGUCACUUGUAUAUCUUCAGUUCUUUCGUUACAUUGUCUUGCUACUAUAGUCUUGUUACAUGUAUACAUUCAGUUGUUCAUUACAGUAGCGGUAGUUGUACUUUCUUUCAUAUAUAUGUCUCUUUCAUUCAUUAUUAUUGCUACUGUAUUUUCUACUGACCCGUACUGUUGUUUAGCUCUUCCUGAUCCGGUGAGUACUCCUCGCCUUCAUCGGCUUGCGGUACCCACUGGGAGGGGAGACAUGUUUACAUGUUCUCACCUCCCCCACUAUUUUUCAGGUAUUGCAGGCGUUGAGUUUUGGGACGAGACGUGAGGUACGUUCGUAGCGGUCGAUAGAGCUUCCGACCCAGGUUAUCGAUUUAGUUUUUAUCCUUACUAUUCUGUUGUUAUAGCUUAGUUAGUUUAUAUGGUUCAGUUAGAUGAUCAUACUUGAUGUUUGAAUGUUGUGAGCUGGUUGAAUUUGUGGAUUUGUGGAAUUGUGGAUUUGGUUUAUGGAUCUUCAGUUUUGGGAUGUUUGUAUACUUUGUGGUUCUCGGAUUUGUAUUUAUGGAUUUACGCAUCGUGGUUUUCUACCCCUCGAGGUAGUCGGUUUUCAAAAUAGAGUUUCCGUGUGGGAAACAGUUUUCAAAAGAUUUUCAAAUGGUUUUUCAUGAUGAAUGAAUUAGAGUUCAAAAAUAAAAGCUUCUGUGUGGGGAGCACUUUUAAAUAGGAUGGUUGUUGUAUUGUGCAUUGCAUCAUCCAGCGCCUAAGGAGUGCUUAGAGGCAUGCAUCAUUCUAAGGAUUGUUAGCUGUAUGGAAAUGCAUAUCAUGCUUUGGUUGUUGAUUGGUAAAUGUAG